CCCAGGACCACACUGGAGACUUGGUGUGUAUAUUUAAUGAAUAAAUAAUGAAUAAAUGAGAAACAGAAAUAAAAGUGACCAUGUGUUCCUUAAGAGAAGCAAAGAACAGCUCCUGUUCUGGCUGGAAUGAGUCUCUGUUCCUUCCAACAGAAGUGUCCUGAGUCAUAGUCAGAGAAUGGGGGCACAUUGACAUAGCAUUCAAAGUGAAUAUGGUAAUAACAAGGUAACAUUACAGCAAGAACAUCUGAGGAAAGUAUUCCCCUCGUGUUGUUUAUCUUUCCUUCAUCUAUUCUGAAACUAAAACCCUGAACCAAAUUUACUUCCAACGUUUAACCCUUUAAUAAACUGGCCUCUGACUCCACCUGGUGGAGAUACAUAAAUUUGUGGAAAUAAAUCAACCCAAAUGAAGA